rnacentral:lncRNA from 1 species
GGCUACACAGAUGAGAAAAUGGGGCUUGCAGAGCUCAAACCAUUACACCAUUCAGAAGCUGGCUUUGGUAUUACUUCAAGUUAUUCAAAACAGUCACCACUUGCUGAGCCUCUAAUGUCUCAUCUGUUGAAUGGGUACAUUUCCUUCCUGAUCCUUCCACCUCUAAACUUGUCUAUUUCCAAGGAUCUAUGGCAUCCAGGCAUAUGAUUUCAAGAGAGAAGGCUGAAAAGGAAGGUGACUGGAAUAUUAAGAACUGUGAGAUAUUCUGAGGAAACUCUAAUUUGUAAAUUGGUAGAAAUGCCAGUAAUUUGUUGGGAAUUGAAGACCCUCUGUAUUCAAGAGCGAAGCUUGGCAGCUGUGCACUGUUGUUUUAUAAAUCAAUAUUACAUCUGAA